rnacentral:rRNA from 1 species
GAUGAACGCUGGCGGCGUGCCUAAUACAUGCAAGUCGAGCGAACAGACGAGGAGCUUGCUCCUCUGACGUUAGCGGCGGACGGGUGAGUAACACGUGGAUAACCUACCUCUAAGACUGGGAUAACUUCGGGAAACCGGAGCUAAUACCGGAUAAUAUAUUGAACCGCAUGGUUCACUAGUGAAAGACGGUUUUGCUGUCACUUAUAGAUGGAUCCGCGCCGCAUUAGCUAGUUGGUAAGGUAACGGCCUACCAAGGCAACGAUGCGUAGCCGACCUGAGAGGGUGAUCGGCCACACUGGAACUGAGACACGGUCCAGACCCCUACGGGAGGCAGCAGGGGGGAAUCUUGCGCAAUGGGCGAAAGCCUGACCGAGCAAACCCGCGUGGGUGAAGAAGGUCUUCGGGUUGUAAAACUCUUUUAUUAGGGAAGAAAAAAAGGUGAAGUAAACAAUGCAGUUCUGACGGUACCCAAUCAGAAAGCCACGGCUAACUACGUG